GAUGAAGAACGCAGCGAAAUGCGAUAAGUAAUGUGAAUUGCAGAAUUCAGUGAAUCAUCGAGUCUUUGAACGCACAUUGCGCCCCCUGGUAUUCCGGGGGGCAUGCCUGUCCGAGCGUCAUUGCUGCCCUCAAGCACGGCUUGUGUGUUGGGCCCCCGUCCCCGGUUUCCCCCGGGGACGGGCCCGAAAGGCAGCGGCGGCACCGCGUCCGGUCCUCGAGCGUAUGGGGCUUUGUCACCCGCUCUGUAGGCCCGGCCGGCGCCAGCCGACACCCAACUUUAUUUCUAAGGUUGACCUCGGAUCAGGUAGGGAUACCCGCUGAACUUAAGCAUAUCAAUAGCGGAGGA
rnacentral:misc_RNA from 1 species